AUUGAACGCUGGCGGCAGGCCUAACACAUGCAAGUCGAGCGAGCGGCGGACGGGUGAGUAAUGUAUGGGGACUGCCCGAUAGAGGGGGAUAACUACUGGAAACGGUAGCUAAUACCGCAUACUAUCGGAUAACCCAUAUGGGAUUAGCUAGUAGGUGGGGUAAUGGCUCACCUAGGCGACGAUCCCUAGCUGGUCUGAGAGGAUGAUCAGCCACACUGGGACUGAGACACGGCCCAGACUCCUACGGAGGCAGCAGUGGGGAAUAUUGGACAAUGGGGGAAACCCUGAUCCAGCCAGGCCGCGUGUAUGAUGAAGGCCUUCGGGUUGUAAAGUACUUUUAGCAGGGAGGCGGUAUCUGCAGAAGAAGCACCGGCUAACUACGUGCCAGCAGCCGCGGUAAUUC
rnacentral:rRNA from 1 species